CUGUGAGCUCGAUGAGUAGGGCGGGACACGUGGUAUCCUGUCUGAAUAUGGGGGGACCAUCCUCCAAGGCUAAAUACUCCUGACUGACCGAUAGUGAACCAGUACCGUGAGGGAAAGGCGAAAAGAACCCCGGCGAGGGGAGUGAAAAAGAACCUGAAACCGUGUACGUACAAGCAGUGGGAGCACGCUUCGGCGUGUGACUGCGUACCUUUUGUAUAAUGGGUCAGCGACUUAUAUUCUGUAGCAAGGUUAACCGAAUAGGGGAGCCGAAGGGAAACCGAGUCUUAACUGGGCGUUAAGUUGCAGGGUAUAGACCCGAAACCCGGUGAUCUAGCCAUGGGCAGGUUGAAGGUUGGGUAACACUAACUGGAGGACCGAACCGACUAAUGUUGAAAAAUUAGCGGAUGACUUGUGGCUGGGGGUGAAAGGCCAAUCAAACCGGGAGAUAGCUGGUUCUCCCCGAAAGCUAUUUAGGUAGCGCCUCGUGAAUUCAUCUCCGGGGGUAGAGCACUGUUUCGGCAAGGGGGUCAUCCCGACUUACCAACCCGAUGCAAACUGCGAAUACCGGAGAAUGUUAUCACGGGAGACACACGGCGGGUGCUAACGUCCGUCGUGAAGAGGGAAACAACCCAGACCGCCAGCUAAGGUCCCAAAGUCAUGGUUAAGUGGGAAACGAUGUGGGAAGGCCCAGACAGCCAGGAUGUUGGCUUAGAAGCAGCCAUCAUUUAAAGAAAGCGUAAUAGCUCACUGGUCGAGUCGGCCUGCGCGGAAGAUGUAACGGGGCUAAACCAUGCACCGAAGCUGCGGCAGCGACACUAUGUGUUGUUGGGUAGGGGAGCGUUCUGUAAGCCUGUGAAGGUGUACUGUGAGGUAUGCUGGAGGUAUCAGAAGUGCGAAUGCUGACAUAAGUAACGAUAAAGCGGGUGAAAAGCCCGCUCGCCGGAAGACCAAGGGUUCCUGUCCAACGUUAAUCGGGGCAGGGUGAGUCGACCCCUAAGGCGAGGCCGAAAGGCGUAGUCGAUGGGAAACAGGUUAAUAUUCCUGUACUUGGUGUUACUGCGAAGGGGGGACGGAGAAGGCUAUGUUGGCCGGGCGACGGUUGUCCCGGUUUAAGCGUGUAGGCUGGUUUUCCAGGCAAAUCCGGAAAAUCAAGGCUGAGGCGUGAUGACGAGGCACUACGGUGCUGAAGCAACAAAUGCCCUGCUUCCAGGAAAAGCCUCUAAGCAUCAGGUAACAUCAAAUCGUACCCCAAACCGACACAGGUGGUCAGGUAGAGAAUACCAAGGCGCUUGAGAGAACUCGGGUGAAGGAACUAGGCAAAAUGGUGCCGUAACUUCGGGAGAAGGCACGCUGAUAUGUAGGUGAAGCGACUUGCUCGUGGAGCUGAAAUCAGUCGAAGAUACCAGCUGGCUGCAACUGUUUAUUAAAAACACAGCACUGUGCAAACACGAAAGUGGACGUAUACGGUGUGACGCCUGCCCGGUGCCGGAAGGUUAAUUGAUGGGGUUAGCGCAAGCGAAGCUCUUGAUCGAAGCCCCGGUAAACGGCGGCCGUAACUAUAACGGUCCUAAGGUAGCGAAAUUCCUUGUCGGGUAAGUUCCGACCUGCACGAAUGGCGUAAUGAUGGCCAGGCUGUCUCCAC
rnacentral:rRNA from 1 species